rnacentral:lncRNA from 1 species
ACUUCCACCCUCAAAAGAUUUCUCCAUUUAUUAUGUAGAAAAUGAAGCUGGAGCCUGAGUUCAUCUCAGAGGUUGUAUACUCGCAUCCAAGAAGAGUACCCCUGUAGAAGGCAGUGGGGAGCUACAAAUAAAGAAAGACUUCAUCCCCUGUUACAUAAACCAAAGCUCUUUACUGGUGAGAAGAUAGCAAAAGCUGAAGCAGACACAGAAUCCACAAGUGGAAAAUACAGCAGUGCCAUUAAAGUUGCUGAGGGCCCGCUUUGCACCAGACACCAUUUUAAGGGAUAGAAGAGAAAACCUAAUGACAGUCUGAUUGCCGUCAAGAGGCUCACAUGUGAAAGGGAAUGAGG